rnacentral:rRNA from 1 species
UGCCUCAGUAACGGCGAGUGAAGCGGCAAAAGCUCAAAUUUGAAAUCUGCGUAAGCCGAGUUGUAAUUUGAAGAUGGCUACUUUGGUAAUGGCUCUUGUCUAUGUUCCUUGGAACAGGACGUCACAGAGGGUGAGAAUCCCGUGCGAUGAGAUGUCCAUUACCGUGUAAAGUGCUUUCGAAGAGUCGAGUUGUUUGGGAAUGCAGCUCUAAGUGGGUGGUAAAUUCCAUCUAAAGCUAAAUAUUGGCGAGAGACCGAUAGCGAACAAGUACAGUGAUGGAAAGAUGAAAAGAACUUUGAAAAGAGAGUGAAAAAGUACGUGAAAUUGUUGAAAGGGAAGGGCUUGAGAUCAGACUUGGUAUUUUGUAUGGCUUGCUUUCGGGCGGGUCCUCUGCAGUUUACUGGGCCAGCAUCGGUUUGGGUGGCAGGAUAAUAGCAUAGGAAUGUGGCUCUACUUCGGUGGAGUGUUAUAGCCUUUGUUGAUACUGCCUGCCUAGACCGAGGACUGCGUCUUUUGACUAGGAUGCUGGCAUAAUGAUCCUAAGCCGC